rnacentral:rRNA from 1 species
UUGCUGGGUGGAUUAGUGGCGAACGGGUGAGUAACACGUGAGUAACCUGCCCCUGACUCUGGGAUAAGCGUUGGAAACGACGUCUAAUACUGGAUAGGACUACUGGCCGCAUGGUCUGGUGGUGGAAAGAUUUUUUGGUUGGGGAUGGACUCGCGGCCUAUCAGCUUGUUGGUGAGGUAAUGGCUCACCAAGGCGACGACGGGUAGCCGGCCUGAGAGGGUGACCGGCCACACUGGGACUGAGACACGGCCCAGACUCCUACGGGAGGCAGCAGUGGGGAAUAUUGCACAAUGGGCGAAAGCCUGAUGCAGCAACGCCGCGUGAGGGAUGACGGCCUUCGGGUUGUAAACCUCUUUUAGUAGGGAAGAAGCGCAAGUGACGGUACCUGCAGAAAAAGCACCGGCUAACUACGUGCCAGCAGCCGCGGUAAUACGUAGGGUGCAAGCGUUGUCCGGAAUUAUUGGGCGUAAAGAGCUCGUAGGCGGUUUGUCGCGUCUGCUGUGAAAUCCCGAGGCUCAACCUCGGGCUUGCAGUGGGUACGGGCAGACUAGAGUGCGGUAGGGGAGAUUGGAAUUCCUGGUGUAGCGGUGGAAUGCGCAGAUAUCAGGAGGAACACCGAUGGCGAAGGCAGAUCUCUGGGCCGUAACUGACGCUGAGGAGCGAAAGCGUGGGGAGCGAACAGGAUUAGAUACCCUGGUAGUCCACGCCGUAAACGUUGGGCGCUAGAUGUAGGGACCUUUCCACGGUUUCUGUGUCGUAGCUAACGCAUUAAGCGCCCCGCCUGGGGAGUACGGCCGCAAGGCUAAAACUCAAAGGAAUUGACGGGGGCCCGCACAAGCGGCGGAGCAUGCGGAUUAAUUCGAUGCAACGCGAAGAACCUUACCAAGGCUUGACAUACACCGGAAACGGCCAGAGAUGGUCGCCCCCUUGUGGUCGGUGUACAGGUGGUGCAUGGUUGUCGUCAGCUCGUGUCGUGAGAUGUUGGGUUAAGUCCCGCAACGAGCGCAACCCUCGUUCUAUGUUGCCAGCGCGUUAUGGCGGGGACUCAUAGGAGACUGCCGGGGUCAACUCGGAGGAAGGUGGGGAUGACGUCAAAUCAUCAUGCCCCUUAUGUCUUGGGCUUCACGCAUGCUACAAUGGCCGGUACAAAGGGCUGCGAUACCGUAAGGUGGAGCGAAUCCCAAAAAGCCGGUCUCAGUUCGGAUUGAGGUCUGCAACUCGACCUCAUGAAGUCGGAGUCGCUAGUAAUCGCAGAUCAGCAACGCUGCGGUGAAUACGUUCCCKGGCCUUGUACACACCGCCCGUCAAGUCAUGAAAGUCGGUAACACCCGAAGCCGGUGGCCUAACCCUUGUGGAAGGAGCCGUCGAAAGGUGGGAUCGGUGAUUAGGACUAAGUCGUAACAG